ensembl:sense_intronic Gm37107 predicted gene, 37107
ACAUGCACACGUGUUCAUGCAGGUGUGGCUAUAUGAGUGUAUAUUACCUGGAGGUCCACACUGAAUGUCUUCAAUCGCUCUCCAGCUUAUGUUUUGAGACAUGUCUCUAACUGACCCUAGAGCUCACUAGUUUGACUUGACUGGCAGGCCAGAGAGCUCCAGGAUUCUCCUCUCUUUGAUCUCCAUCACAGGGCUUUUAAACAUGUGAUCCUGUGCGCCUUGUUUUACAUGGCUCCUGGGAAUCUACUCAGGUCCUCAUGCUUGCAUAGUGGGCACAUUACUGACGAAGCCGCCGAAGCCAUCAUCCCAUCCCUGGGCGCUAUUUGCAUUGCAGAAACAAUGUGCUGGCAGCCAACUGUAGGAAAAAGUGCAAGUCUAUACAUUUUAGGAGGGUUGGCUUUUUUUAAAUUGACUAUUAAAAUACUACCUAGCUGAAAGUGCUUGUCUUUGCCUAUCUAUAGAACGCUCUCCCACCCCACCCCCCACACCCAUUUUUGGUAAAUGAGGACACUAGAGUAACAUCUAAGAUGCCUUCCCAGGUCAUAAUAUCUUAGAUGCUUAGGAAAAUCUAAGCAUUGCUUUUGGUGUGUGUAUUCUAGGCAAAUCCUUCAAAUCCACAUCCCAGCGCAGAUUUCCAGCUAAGGGCACAGAGCUUGAUGCUAUGGUCUCUCUUAAUUCUUUUAGGUGUUUUCUGGAGUUUUGACAGUACACUCUGAGAGGCAGCCACCAUGAGACUGUACCUUUUGAAUGGUCAGCGUUUUCCUCAGUCAGAUUUUUACUUAAAUCACUUGACAGUUUCCCUUAACAGCUCACUCCGCUUAGAAAACCUGGGCUCAACGGUUUACAGAUGAUCAUCAGCCCGUGUACAUAAAUGAUGUGCAUGUCUUGAAUAACCAUUACAGCAGACAGAAAGAAAACACACUCAAGGGAUUUAAUGAAAGAGUGGAAAAUUCCAGUUAAAACUAAAUAUUUUCUUUUCGAAGCAGUUUUGCUUUAAAAUACUGUUGUUCAUUUCUUGUAAUGCUCCUGUCUGUAACACAGACUUUAUCAUAUAGUAUUGAUCCUGUUAAAAGCCAGUCACCCAGCUUCUUUUAUAACUCUUCCUUUAUUUGAACAUGGUAUGUUAGAGAAAAUACAUGCUUUGUGAUAUUUAAAGGGAAGUAAGAUUUUAUUUGGCCAAUCAACCUUUAUUGAAUUCUGUUUCUAUAGCAGGAUCCAAAGAUAAGUAACUACUGGUAGUAUAUGUGAAUCUCUCUCUCUCUCUCUCUCUCUCUCUCUCUCUCUCUCUCUCUCUCUCUGUCUGUCUCUCUCAUAUCACUCUCUAAAUUUGACCAAGUUCAUGGUGGGAAACAUUGUGGAGAAGGAAGUGGAAGCAGCUGUUAUAAAAUGUUGGAGAGGAUGGAAGCCAUUAGUGACCUGCAGUUGCAGUGGCCUGUGGGUAGAAGAGAGGAGGAGAAGACCUAGGUUAGUACCCAGGAAGGAUACCUGGGACAAGAAACCUGGUGGGUUGGGCCCAGCUUCAGAGGGGACUAGCUGGAACCUCAUCAUUGGAUGGAGGGAUGAGGAAGGGUGUUUUGUGCCAAAGGGCAAAGCAGGAUGAAAAUGCUGGGCGUGGUUCCUGGGCUGAGACUGUCACCUAACGAACAGGGAGUGACAGGGACAGGCUGAGCAGAGGACUAUUGGUGUGGAGGUUGUACCAUGUGUCCAGGUCAUUUUCUUAUGAAAUAAUGAUAAAUAGCUGCUGCUGCACUCCUCCUCCUCCUCCUCCUCCUCCUCCUCCUUCUCCUCCUCUCCCUCCUCCCUCUCCUCCUCCUUUUUGUCCUCCCCCUCAUUUCCUCCUCUUACUCCUUCCUCUGCCGCUAUGGAACUCAGAUGCCACUCCCAACAUAACCAUACAGUUUUGGGACAUACAGACUAUUCACUACACUUCUUUGUCUUCACUUACGUCUUCUGGGUGGAGGCUUUACAAGCAAAUUCUCUACCCAUGUUCAGGGCCAUAGGCACCCGAUAAAAUUAGUACUAUCACCUAAGUGCAGAAAUCUUGCCUAAUCUCCAUUCCCUGACUCCACGUUCUUCUUUCUCCUUGGCAUUUAUGUCAGGAUCUGUCUUCUCAUUCUAAACAAAGCUCUUCAGAUACAUACUCAUUGUCUUUCCCAUUAUCCUGUAGACAGAGUCCCUGCCAUGCAGUACCUGUCAUGUGGCCUCAGGCUUCUGGCCAGACCUCAGUACUCCCAGAACCGCCUUUUAUCUGAAAAAGAUAAUGACAAAUUUCUUGUUCCUUUAGACUUCUAGUCUUGUAGAUAGAUAGAUAGAUAGAUAGAUAGAUAGAUAGAUAGAUAGAUAGAUAGAUAGAGAUACAUAUAUACAUAUCUGAAUGUACACACACAUACACUGGGCUGAGUGGAGCAACAGCAUCUUAUCUGUUAUUAAAGGGUUAAUAAAUAUAAUGCAAUGGUCUUUACUUUCCUUGUAUGGACACAGAGAGGGAAACUGGACCACAGAUGGACAGUUCUAAGACAGACUGAGGAAAUCAACUCAAGAUAAUUAAAGUACC